UUUUUUUUUGCCAGGACAUGAGGCCAUUCUAAGGUCACCAUUCCAUUCCAGAAGGAGCUGUCAAGCCCCUUACCCAUCUUUUGGGGUCUGCCUUCUCAGAACAUAUGUUGACACUGCCCAUUCAGGCAGGAAAGAAAAAAAUUGCUAUGAGAAGCUGAAGCUCCAACUUAGACCAUAUUGCUUGAAACCACACUUCCGGACCGCUUCCUAUCAAGACCUAUUUCAGGUGAUUCCAGCACCUCACUUGGGGUCCAAAAUCCUACCAAAGAAACCCCAAGUACUUUAAUUAUUUUCUAACUAUUGUUUAUUUUCUAACUACUACACCUACCACCUCAAGUACUGAGGCUUCCCUGGGAAGCAGCCGUGCCAGGGCUACUGUCCCACACCCAGUGGCCAGCAGGGCCCCAAGGAGAAGGGCAAAGGCAGGGAGGAUGCACAGCAGAUUGCUCCAGCCAACAUCAGACAGGAGCACUGGGAAUGCUGUGGUUAACUGGUUCCCCGGUUUUGUUUCUAAAGGAUUGUUAGCCAGGGUUGUUGGUUUUUUUAAUCUAGUUCUGGUUUAGUAUAUUGCCAAGAGACACCCAGUUCAGCAAUCACCAAAAAAAUGCUUUGGUUUAAAACGUCAGAAUACAUUUUAUUCCGAUAGACCUGUUCAUUUGCCUCAGGCUUAAUGCAACAGUUUAAGAAAACCACUUUCUACAAAGAGAUAAACCCAUCUGCCUUGUGUUCUUCCAGGGGAGGGCUCCACCUCCAUCAUCCCCAUCUGCAGCACACCGCUGUCAUCAGCCAGGGCAGCCACAGGCAAGACAACGCUGUUUACUGAGGACUGCAGUCAGAAAACCUCUUUUACUUUAAGACAUCAGGGAUGAAAAUUCAUUCCAAAUAUGUUCAAUUACAAAAACACAGUCAUACAAAUAUACAAAGUGUGCAAUACAUUAUUUUGAGAUAAUAAGAUUGAUUUUUUCCUCCAGUUGAUAACUUCAUUCUGAUAGCUUUAGUGUUAAUUUUUUCUUCUUACGGUAAGUAACUGGGACACUGAAUACUGGUGCUAACAUUAAUCAUGCCAGCAAAUGAGCAAGUCCUCUAUUACUGAACUAAUUACUUCUAAUUGCACAUGCAGCUCUUGCACUCUCCUUAUGCAUACAUAAGAACAAGUUUAUGUCUUUUAAAAAGGUGUAUGUCUUUAUAAAGAGUGAAUUAACCAAAAGUUC
rnacentral:lncRNA from 1 species